rnacentral:antisense_RNA from 1 species
AGAGACUAUUUUGGUCGCUAUGGGUAUGGGAACUACCGAUGGGCCCAUUUUUGAAAAAAAGAUAAUAAUUUUCUUGAUUGAUGGUAAUGUGCCCGGAAUGUUCAAAGUGAUGCGCAAAAGUUGGUAAGGUUUGGACGGGUAACUGUUCAAAAGUGUGGACACCUUUUUCUCCUAGAAGGAGAAGACUAUCGAUAUCAAGUGUGGGAAAAGCAGCAGCUUUUAAGUGUGGUUCUUCAAGGAUAGUGGCUGCAAGCGUUAGAAUAUCUCUGGUAUCUGUAACAUCGCUAUCACCAAGAGGGAUUUGUUUAUGAUCUGGACCAGUCAUUUUGAGGAGAUAAUCACUCAUGGCAAGCAAAGUAGGUCUAAGCUGUGGAAGAUAAUCAGGGACUAGAGCAGUUAAUUCCAGAAGGGCUUUGAGUACUUCCACAUGAUACAUGGUUGAUUGUUCAAAUUGACUGCCGUCUUCGAGAAUUUGUAGUGCGAUUUGUUGCGUCAAUUCUUUUCUAGCGAAAGCUGUUGCUGCAGCAAUAUCAAGGUCAGAACCAAAGUAGGCAUCAGCUAAUAAAAUCGCAGUGGUUUGCAAGAUUCCCCAAUUGCUGAGGCUGUAUUUAUCAAGGUAGUUGGCAU